AGAUAGAGGUGCGAUUUCCAGGAGUACGGCAGCCGAGUCUCUCAACAGACUGCGACGCUGCCGGAAAGGGGCCGUCGCCGAAGUGUGCCGGAUGGUUGAGUACCGGCAUGCUGGCCACGUGGGAAAAUAUCUCACGGGCUGUCACGGCAAGCACUUGCCGUGGAGCGCUAGCU
rnacentral:ncRNA from 2 species